GCGGAAUGCUUUACACAUGCAAGUCGAACGGCAGCACGGGAGCUUGCUCCUGGUGGCGAGUGGCGAACGGGUGAGUAAUAUAUCGGAACGUAUCCAAUAAUGGGGGAUAACUAGUCGAAAGAUUAGCUAAUACCGCAUACGCCCUGAGGGGGAAAGCUGGGGAUCUUCGGACCUAGCGUUAAUGGAGCGGCCGAUAUCUGAUUAGCUAGUAGGUGAGGUAAAAGCUCACCUAGGCGACGAUCAGUAGCUGGUCUGAGAGGACGACCAGCCACACUGGAACUGAGACACGGUCCAGACUCCUACGGGAGGCAGCAGUGGGGAAUUUUGGACAAUGGGCGCAAGCCUGAUCCAGCCAUUCCGCGUGAGUGAAGAANGCCUUCGGGUUGUAAAGCUCUUUCGCAAGGGAAGAAAACUUAACCUCUAACAUANGUUGANGCUGACGGUACCUUGAUAAGAAGCACCGGCUAACUACGUGCCA
rnacentral:rRNA from 1 species